rnacentral:rRNA from 1 species
ACAAACGCUGGCGGCGUGCCUAAUACAUGCAAGUCGAACGGGGAAAGUAGCAAUAUGAGUACUAGUGGCGCACGGGUGAGUAACGCGUGGAUAAUCUGCCUUGAAGAGGGGGAUAACUAGUCGAAAGAUUAGCUAAUACCGCAUAAGACCACAAGAACUGAGGUUCAAGGGGUCAAAGGUUUUUCGCUUCAAGAUGAGUCCGCGUAAGAUUAGCUAGUUGGUGAGGUAAUGGCUCACCAAGGCAACGAUCUUUAACUGGUCUGAGAGGAUGAUCAGUCACACUGGAACUGAGACACGGUCCAGACUCCUACGGGAGGCAGCAGUAGGGAAUAUUGCACAAUGGAGGAAACUCUGAUGCAGCGACGCCGCGUGAGGGAUGAAGGCCUUCGGGUCGUAAAGCUCUGUCGCAGGGGAAUAACACAAUGAAUGUACCCUGUAAGAAAGGAUCGGCUAACUUCGUG